rnacentral:rRNA from 1 species
UUCCGGUUGAUCCUGCCGGACCUGACUGCUAUCGGAUUGAUACUAAGCCAUGCGAGUCUUUGUAGUAAUACAAGGCAGACGGCUCAGUAACGCGUAGUCAACCUACCCUAUGGACGGGAAUAAUCUCGGGAAACUGAGCAUAAUACCCGGCGUACCACCAUUCCUGGAAUGGUUGGUGGUUAAAAUGAUUCGUCGCCGUAGGAUGGGACUGCGACCUAUCAGCUUGUUGGUGAGGUAAAGGCCCACCAAGGCGAUUACAGGUACGGGCUCUGAGAGGAGAAGCCCGGAGAUGGGUACUGAGACACGGACCCAGGCCCUAUGGGGCGCAGCAGGCGAGAAAACUUUGCAAUGUGCGAAAGCACGACAAGGUUAAUCCGAGUGAUUUCUGCUAAAGGAAUCUUUUGCCAGUUCUAAAAAUACUAGUGAAUAAGGGGUGGGCAAGUUCUGGUGUCAGCCGCCGCGGUAAAACCAGCACCUCAAGUGGUCAGGAGGAUUAUUGGGCCUAAAGCAUCCGUAGCCUGCUCUGUAAGUUUUCGGUUAAAUCUAUAUGCUCAACGUAUAGGCUGCCGAAAAUACUGCAGUGCUAGGAAGUGGGAGAGGUAGACGGUACUUGAUAGGAAGGGGUAAAAUCCUUUGAUCUAUCGAUGACCACCUGUGGCGAAGGCGGUCUACCAGAACACGUUCGACGGUGAGGGAUGAAAGCUGGGGGAGCAAACCGGAUUAGAUACCCGGGUAGUCCCAGCUGUAAACGAUGCAGACUCGAUGAUGCAUUGGCAUAUAGCCAGUGCAGUGUCGCAGGGAAGCCGUUAAGUCUGCCGCCUGGGAAGUACGUACGCAAGUAUGAAACUUAAAGGAAUUGGCGGGGGAGCACCACAAGGGGUGAAGCCUGCGGUUCAAUUGGAAUCAACGCCGGG